UUAAUCAUUGCCAUAGUCACUCCGAGCGGCCAUCUUUGACUCGCACUCAAAACAAACUGAUCAUUAUUUACACCACUGGACACAUUACCUACCCACAUACUGCCUACACAAUGAACUGUUGGUAUAACAAUAUUAUAAGAAAUACAUUGUUUUCGAAGGGGCACAUCGAUUCCACCAGUACAGUUAUUUUAAGACUACCUAUACUUAUGGAAUCGAUGACAAUUUCAUCUAACAAAAAAAAAAGGUCAUUCGAUGGGUUUGACUCACGACGGGGAUUUUGCGAGUAGGUACUAGGGCUGCCGGAACAGCACCCGAAGCAACGGGACGUAAACGUCUGGUAUUCAGUUUUCAAGAGGGUGGCAGCGGUGGUGGUGACGAGGGAUGCGUCUGAGUUGUAAAUAACCACACAUGUACACGAGACGAUUUGAC